rnacentral:rRNA from 1 species
UACGGGGGGGGCAAGCGUUGUUCGGAAUUACUGGGCGUAAAGGGUUCGUAGGUGGCUUGCUAAGUCAGACGUGAAAUCCCUCAGCUUAACUGGGGAACUGCGUCUGAUACUGGCGAGCUUGAGUGCAGGAGAGGAACGCGGAAUUCCCGGUGUAGCGGUGAAAUGCGCAGAUAUCGGGAGGAACACCAGUAGCGAAGGCGGCACUCUGGGCCGGUACUGACGCUGAGGAGCGAAAGCGUGGGGAGCGAACAGG